UACAGAGACUGCAAGCGUUAUUCGGAUUCACUGGGCGUAAAGGGUGCGCAGGUGGGUUGGCAAGUUUGAUGUGAAAGCCCCGGGCUUAACCCGGGAAUGGCAUUGAAUACUGCUGAUCUGGAGGAUUGGAGGGGGGACUGGAAUUCUUGGCGUAGCAGUGAAAUGCGUAGAUAUCAAGAGGAACACCAGUGGCGAAGGCGAGUCCCUGGACAAUACCUGACACUGAGGCACGAAAGCCAAGGGAGCAAACAGG
rnacentral:rRNA from 1 species